rnacentral:rRNA from 1 species
AUACGGAGGAUCCGAGCGUUAUCCGGAUUUAUUGGGUUUAAAGGGAGCGUAGGCGGACGCUUAAGUCAGUUGUGAAAGUUUGCGGCUCAACCGUAAAAUUGCAGUUGAUACUGGGCGUCUUGAGUACAGUAGAGGCAGGCGGAAUUCGUGGUGUAGCGGUGAAAUGCUUAGAUAUCACGAAGAACUCCGAUUGCGAAGGCAGCCUGCUGGACUGUAACUGACGCUGAUGCUCGAAAGUGUGGGUAUCAAACAGGAUUAGAUACCCUGGUAGUCCACACAGUAAACGAUGAAUACUCGCUGUUUGCGAUACACUGUAAGCGGCCAAGCGAAAGCGUUAAGUAUUCCACCUGGGGAGUACGCCGGCAACGGUGAAACUUAAAUGAAUUGACGGGG